GACGUGUAACUCCCCAAUAUUUAAAUGUGGGCUGCAGUUCCUUUCUUCACAAAAGGACAGCAUGGAAAGGAACGGGUAAAAGUGACUUCACAGCAGAGAAACCUGGCAAAACCUCCCUCGCUCCACCAAGCGCUCAAGGUCAACCUCAACCACGGAGAAUUUAGGCAAAUCCUAGUGAAGGGACAUUCUCCAAAGCACCUGAGCAGCACUCCUCAAAACUGUGAAGGUCAUCAGAAAAAAAAAAAAAGUCUGGAAAACUGUCACAGCUAAGAGGAGUUUAAGGAGAGAAAAUGACUAAACAUAAUGAGAAAUCCUGAAUUGGAGCCUGGACCAUAAGAACAGUAGGUUAAAACUAAAGAAAUAUGAAUAAAGUAUGGCCUUUAAUUCACAGUAA